rnacentral:rRNA from 1 species
GACGAACGCUGGCGGCGUGCUUAACACAUGCAAGUCGAACGAUGAAGCGGUGCUUGCACCGUGGAUUAGUGGCGAACGGGUGAGUAAUACGUGAGUGACCUACCUUUGACUCUGGGAUAAGCCUGGGAAACUGGGUCUAAUACCGGAUACGACCAAUCUCUGCAUGGGGUGUUGGUGGAAAGCGUUAUGGAGUGGUUUUAGAUGGGCUCACGGCCUAUCAGCUUGUUGGUGAGGUAAUGGCUUACCAAGGCGACGACGGGUAGCCGGCCUGAGAGGGUGACCGGCCACACUGGGACUGAGACACGGCCCAGACUCCUACGGGAGGCAGCAGUGGGGAAUAUUGCACAAUGGGCGCAAGCCUGAUGCAGCGACGCCGCGUGAGGGAUGACGGCCUUCGGGUUGUAAACCUCUGUUGGCAUCGAAGAAGCGAAAGUGACGGUAGGUGCAGAGAAAGCGCCGGCUAACUACGUGCCAGCAGCCGCGGUAAUACGUAGGGCGCGAGCGUUGUCCGGAAUUAUUGGGCGUAAAGAGCUUGUAGGCGGUUGGUCGCGUCUGCUGUGAAGGCCGGGGCUUAACUCCGGUUUUGCAGUGGGUACGGGCUAACUAGAGUGCAGUAGGGGAGACUGGAAUUCCUGGUGUAGCGGUGGAAUGCACAGAUAUCAGGAGGAGCACCGAUGGCGAAGGCAGGUCUCUGGGCUGUAACUGACGCUGAGAAGCGAAAGCAUGGGGAGCGAACAGGAUUAGAUACCCUGGUAGUCCAUGCCGUAAACGUUGGGCACUAGGUGUGGGGGACAUUCCACGUUUUCCGCGCCGUAGCUAACGCAUUAAGUGCCCCGCCUGGGGAGUACGGCCGCAAGGCUAAAACUCAAAGGAAUUGACGGGGGCCCGCACAAGCGGCGGAGCAUACGGAUUAAUUCGAUGCAACGCGAAGAACCUUACCAAGGCUUGACAUGCAUUAGAUCGCGUCAGAGAUGGCGUUUCCCUUCGGGGCUGGUGUACAGGUGGUGCAUGGUUGUCGUCAGCUCGUGUCGUGAGAUGUCGGGUUAAGUCCCGCAACGAGCGCAACCCUCGUUCUAUGUUGCCAGCGGUUCGGCCGGGGACUCAUAGGAGACUGCCGGGGUUAACUCGGAGGAAGGUGGGGAUGACGUCAAAUCAUCAUGCCCCUUAUGUCUUGGGCUUCACGCAUGCUACAAUGGCCGGUACAGAGGGUUGCGAUACUGUGAGGUGGAGCUAAUCCCUUAAAGCCGGUCUCAGUUCGGAUUGGGGUCUGCAACUCGACCCCAUGAAGUCGGAGUCGCUAGUAAUCGCAGAUCAGCAACGCUGCGGUGAAUACGUUCCCGGGCCU